GAGUGAGAGUGGAGGGAGAAAGAGAGGGAGAGAGAGAAUAGAGAGAGAGAGGGAGAAAGAGAGGGAGAGAGAGAGUAGAGAGAGAGAGAGAGAGAGGGAGAGAGAGAGAGAGAGAAGGGAAAGCGGCAGCAGCGAGCCUCUCAGUCAUUUAACUACAGAACCCAUUGGAUUGUCCUUCAGAAGCAGAAAGGGGGAGAGAGAAAAAGCGAGAGAGAGAGAGGGGAGGGGAGGAGAGGAAAGAGAGGAAGGGGGACUGAAUGGAGGAGAGGAGGAUGGUGCUGCCAGUGGCAGGUUUUGUCACCUACAGGAGAGGAGCAGCCAGCUCUGUAGAAAGGGGAGAGGGUAAGAGACAGGGAGGAGAUCACAGCUCAGCUGGAGAUGGAACCCCAAGCCUCAGGGGGGAUUGGUAUGUGGAGCUGGCCACCCAGAGGACUGCACCCCACACCUCUCUGGCAGCUUCAUAGAUUAAAAUCCUGAGACCUCACCAAUGUUCUGUGUCUACUGAAGAGAUGGAGUUCAGCACCAGGCCCUGGGGUAGUGUUCUGAAGCACUGAAUAUUCAUGCUGAUGCUACAGCUUCCCUGACCUGCUCCACCCUAGCCUGCAGACGGCUGUGAUGUCAUACGGUAACAGGUGAGUUCGGUACCAUGGCGAUGCUGUGAUGUCACAGCGAUGUGGUGCAGUGAUUGGUCAGCAGAGCAGCUAGGUGUGCUGGCCCCUCUUGAGGGGAGGGGGGCUUUGAACAUUCCUCCACACUGAAUCUUUCAAGGUUCUUCAGAUCUUCCAGUUUGUUCUUGUGACCUACUCUUCCUCAAUUCAAGCCACAUAUUCAUGGAUCAAAUCAAAAAUAACCAAAAUGGUUGACUGACCUCAACAUUGCUGUUUUGUGACAGCUGUCUCAGUAAUGUUGCGAUUUUUGAGGUUGGCUUGGAAUCAUUGACCAAUUUUCAGUUUGAACUUCCUGGCUGAGGGGUCCAGGUUUUUAGCCAAAAUUAAAAGCCCAAGGCAUUGGAUGGAGAAUAGAACAGAACAUUAUGAAAUAAAUAAUCCUGUUCUUAGUCUCACUGGUCAAGGCCAGCGUGUGUAUUGAUUUUAGAUUCUGCAAAGCAAUGAGCGAU